rnacentral:rRNA from 1 species
GACAGAGGCCUCAAGCGUUAGGCGGAAUCACUGGGCUUAAAGCGUGUGUAGGCGGAUCGUUAAGUGUCUUGUGAAAUCCCACGGCUCACCCGUGGAACUGCUGGGCAUACUGGCGAUCUUGGGCCAACUAGGGGCAGCCGGAACAAGCGGUGGAGCGGUGAAAUGCGUAGAUAUCGCUUGGAACGCCGAAGGUGAAAACAGGCUGCUGGGGUUGCGCCGACGCUGAGACACGAAAGCCAGGGGAGCAACCGGG